AACGAACGUUGGCGGCGUGCUUAACACAUGCAAGUCGAACGAGAAAGUUUUCUUCGGAGAACGAGUAAAGUGGCGCACGGGUGAGUAACGCGUAAGUAAUCUACCCUUGCAUUUGGGAUAACUACGGGAAGCUGUAGCUAAUACCAGAUACGUUCAUAGAGUUACGACUCUAUGAAGAAAGAUGACCUCUUCUUGAAAGUUAUCGUGCAGGGAGGAGCUUGCGUACCAUUAGCUAGUUGGUAGGGUAAAGGCCUACCAAGGCAACGAUGGUUAGCGGGUCUGAGAGGAUGAUCCGCCACACUGGAACUGAAACACGGACCAGACUCCUACGGGAGGCAGCAGUGAGGAAUAUUGCGCAAUGGGGGAAACCCUGACGCAGCGACGCCGCGUGGAUGAUGAAGGCCUUAGGGUCGUAAAAUCCUGUCAGAUGGGAAGAAAUGUAUGUAGGAAUAAUACCCUAUGUGCUUGGCGGUACCAUCAAAGGAAGCACCGGCUAACUCCGUGCCAGCAGCCGCGGUAAUACGGAGGGUGCAAACGUUGUUCGGAAUUACUGGGCGUAAAGCGCGCGUAGGCGGUUUGUUAAGUCAGAUGUGAAAGUCCAUAGCUCAACUAUGGAAGUGCAUUUGAAACUG
rnacentral:rRNA from 1 species